rnacentral:rRNA from 1 species
GAUGAACGCUGGCGGCGUGCCUAAUACAUGCCAGUCGAACGAAACUUCUUUAUCACCGAGUGCUUGCACUCACCGAUAAAGAGUUGAGUGGCGAACGGGUGAGUAACACGUGGGCAACCUGCCCAAAAGAGGGGGAUAACACUUGGAAACAGGUGCUAAUACCGCAUAACCAUAGUUACCGCAUGGUAACUAUGUAAAAGGUGGCUAUACUACCGCUUUUGGAUGGGCCCGCGGCGCAUUAGCUAGUUGGUAGGGUAAAGGCUUACCAAGGCAAUGAUGCUGAGCCGAAUUCGGAGGUUGAUCGGCCACAUUGGGACUGAGACACGGCCCAAACUCCUACGGGAGGCAGCAGUAGGGAAUCUUCCACAAUGGGCGAAAGCCUGAUGGAGCAACGCCGCGUGGGUGAAGAAGGUCUUCGGAUCGUAAAACCCUGUUGUUAGAGAAGAAAGUGCGUGAGAGUAACUGUUCACGUUUCGACGGUAUCUAACCGGAAAGCCACGGCUAACUACGUG